AGAUUCUCAAAGAAAUUGGCGGGAGGGCGCACAAACGGUGGAUGAUGUGGUUUAAUUCGAUGCAACGCGAAAAACCUUACCCACCUUUGACAUGGCAGGAAUUCCGAAGAGAUUUGGAAGUGCUCGAAAGAGAACCUGCACACAGGUGCUGCAUGGCUGUCGUCAGCUCGUGUCGUGAGAUGUUGGGUUAAGUUCCGCAACGAGCGCAACCCUUGCCAUUAGUUGCUACGAAAGGGCACUCUAAUGGGACUGCCGGUGACAAACCGGAGGAAGGUGGGGAUGACGUCAAGUCCUCAUGGCCCUUAUAGGUGGGGCUACACACGUCAUACAAUGGCCGGUACAAAGGGUAGCCAACCCGCGAGGGGGAGCCAAUCCCAUAAAGCCGGUCGUAGUCCGGAUCGCAGUCUGCAACUCGACUGCGUGAAGUCGGAAUCGCUAGUAAUCGUGGAUCAGCAUGCCACGGUGAAUACGUUCCCGCGCUUGCACACACCGCCCGAAUCUGUCCCCUCUCCA
rnacentral:rRNA from 2 species